GUUUAUCUUGAACUGAAAUGUGUCAGAUUGUAUGCACCAUUGCACUCCCAACACCUUCUCCACAGGAAGAUUGUGACGAUCGAUGUCCAAGUUCAUCACCCGCUUGGGCCCUGUCGACUUCAGGUAUGGCGGCCAACACGAACGUAAAGUUUAAGGUGUUUAUUCCAACUCAAAAUUCAAACAAUAAUUGUGGUUUCUAAUCAAAAACAAAACUAAACAAUAACGUGCAGCAGUGAAACAACGGUCAAGAGAAAAUAUGCCUUGAGCCAGCUGACCCCCUCGCUCUGUGUGUCCAACUGACUUGGCUCCUUCUGACAGCCCAAUUUGAAGGUCAUCUGUUUGAAUGUUGUGCUGAUUGUCUCUCAACUCCACCGAUUCGGUCAGCGUAAUGCCAACAACCAGGAAGACUACCCAUGAAACUCUUAAAAAGAAAUGAAGCCAAUUAUGAACCAAUUUUUCAAGAAUAUCCUGGUGGGGGCCUUUAUAGUUGGACAAAUCGACAACGCUGCGCCUGUGAUCCACUCGCUCAAGUUAAUCCACACUGCGUCGUUUGAAAUUGCAAACUUCCCAGAAUACUUGAGUGUGGGUUACGUUGACGGCGUUCCCAUUUCACACUACGACAGCAUAAGCAGGAAAUGGGUUGCCAAACAGGAGUGGAUGAAGAAAAUCACAGCCGAGGAGCCACGCUACUGGGAGAGACAGACACGGAUCAAUAUUGAUAAUCAGCAGACCAGCAAAGAUAAUAUUAAAACUCUUCAACAGCGCUUCAACCAAACGGGAGGUCUUCACAUGAUCCAGCACAUGUCUGGCUGCCAGUGGGACAAUGAGACCGACCAGGUGGAUGGUUGGUUUCACAUGAGUUACAACGGUGAAGACUUCAUAUGGUUUGAUUGGAAGGGACUGAGAUGGAUCGCCUUCCAGUCGCAAGCUAUUAUCACCAAAAACAAGUGGGACCGAGAAGAGGGCUAUAAUGAAUUCUUGAAGUUCUACAUGACUGAGGAAUGUCCUUCUUACCUGAAGAAGUUCGUGAGCUAUGGGAGGGACGUCCUGAUGAGAACAGAGCUUCCGCGCGUCUCCCUGCUGCAGAAGACUGUGGGGUCACCAAUCACAUGCCACGCCACAGGUUUUUACCCGAAGACGGCCGUCCUCUUCUGGAGGAAGGAUGGCGAGCAUCUGGAAGAGAAUGUGGAGAGUCACGACAUGUUACCCAACCACGACGGGACCUUCCAGACUAGCACUCAGCUUCUCGCGCAAGAUGAGGGCGCUCGCUACGAGUGCGUCUUCCAGCUGGACGGCGUCCCGGAGGACAUCGUCACCCCGCUGGACUUCGCCAAGGUGUUGAGCAACGAGCGCAUAGAAGCGCGAGAAAGGAGGAAGACAGAGGUGGCCAUCGCCGUCCCCUUGGUCCUCCUCUCUCUUGCUGCCGCUGUCGCACUCUUUGCCGUCAAGCGCAAACGAGCCAAAUACGUUCUAGCUCGUGAGCAAAAGCAUUCCCAGGUCACUUCUUGUACAUUUUGAGUCCUUUCCUCUUGCUUUUAAGGCAUUUCCGAGUCACUUCCUGUUCACUGUUGAUUUUGGUGCUUUUUUAGGUCACUUCCUGUUGAUUUUGGUGUGAAUGGCAGUAGGCCUUCAUCUUCCGCUUGCUCUGGGGUCGGGUCACGGGGGCAGCACUUCAAGCAGGGAAGCCCAGUCUUUCCUCUCGUCAGCUACCUCAACCAGCUCCUCCGGCGGGAUCCCAAGGCGUUCCCAGGCCAGCCAAGAGACAUGGUCUCUCCAAUGUGUCCUGGGUCGUCCCCGGGGCCUCCCGCCGGUGGGAUGUGCCCGGAACACCUCUCCGGGGAGGCGUCCAGGAGGCAUAUGCCGUGCCACCCCAGCUGACUCCUGUCGACGCCGAGUCCCUCCCGGAUGACCGAGCUUCUCACCCUAUCUCUAAGGAAGAGCCUGGACACUCUACAGAGGAAACUCGUUUCGACCGCUCUUGUCCUUUCGGUCAAAACCCACAACACGUGACCAUAAGUGUCAGGGAAACGCGGGCAGGCAGGUUGUGUGGACCCAAAUGCAGGGAAUCAAUAAUGCAAGGCAGGUGCCAGAUGUCAAGCCUGAGUUUUCUCGCCACAUUUGCGUUGGAACACAGGGAUAGAUUAUAUGAUUUUUUUUUGGUGCCUCGAAGAUGUUUUGGUAGCUUUGGGAGAAUUUGUAGCUAGUCAAUGUUUCGAUUUGUUUUACAAUACCUGGUGCACUUCAGUGACUGUUCCUGUUACAUUCCAUGUAUCAAUCUGGGGGGGAAAUCCAAUCGGUUCAUGGGAGGGACUUCAAAAAGAUCUCUUCUCCUCAUGAGUCCUCAACCACAUUCUCUCUCAAAAACAUGUAGAUAGUAAGUAGUUUCUUCUUCCUGCCUUAUAUAGAACAGAUGGCUUUAUAUUGAUGCUUCGUCGUAGCUCCCAGCUAAGGUACAUGUGCGUAAAGCGCUUAGCGGUUUACCCUUAUGUAAUAAUACUUUUUUUUUCCCUCGUAGUACCAGUAUGACUUCAAUCUCGUCGUCCUUUUUUUUCCCUUCUCCUUUAUUUGGCCCGAAUCCGCCGUCAUACAAAAUGACAAACUACAUAACAACAACAACAAAAAAAAAACAAUUAAAAAAGACGACAAAAAAAAUAAAAAAAUUAAAAAAGUAGGUACCAGUAAAAAAAAAAAAUUGGUUGGACGAAUCCACCGGAAAGGAAAGGUG